rnacentral:rRNA from 1 species
UCUGCAAUUGGCAGAACCGACUUCCAAGCCUAAGUACUCGUGCAUGACCGAUAGCGAACUAGUACCGUGAGGGAAAGGUGAAAAGCACCCCGACAAGGGGAGUGAAAGAGUACCUGAAACCGAUUGCCUACAAACAGUGGGAGCCUGCAAGGGUGACCACGUACCUUUUGUAUAAUGGGUCAGCGACUUAGUGUGACGAGCAAGCUUAAACCGGUAGGUGUAGGCGCAGCGAAAGCGAGUCUGAACAGGGCGUUCAGUUCGUCGCAUUAGACCCGAAACCGAGUGAUCUAGCCAUGAGCAGGCUGAAGGUAAGGUAACACUUACUGGAGGGCCGAACCCAUAACUGUUGCAAUAGUUCGGGAUGACUUGUGGCUAGGGGUGAAAGGCCAAUCAAACUCGGAAAUAGCUGGUUCUCCGCGAAAUCUAUUUAGGUAGAGCGUCGACCGAAUACCC